ACGCGAGCUGGGUUCAGAACGUCGUGAGACAGUUCGGUCCCUAUCCGUCGCGGGCGUAGGAAAUUUGAGAGGAGCUGUCCUUAGUACGAGAGGACCGGGAUGGACGCACCGCUGGUGUACCAGUUGUUCCGCCAGGAGCACAGCUGGGUAGCUAUGUGCGGAAGGGAUAAGCGCUGAAAGCAUCUAAGCGUGAAGCCCCCCUCAAGAUGAGAUUUCCCAUCGCGUCAAGCGAGUAAGAUCCCUUGAAGAUGACAAGUUUGAUAGGUCCGAGGUGGAAGCGUGGCGACACGUGCAGCUGACGGAUACUAAUCGAUCGAGGACUUAACUAA
rnacentral:rRNA from 1 species